rnacentral:rRNA from 1 species
CUAUGAGUUUGGAACCCUGAACAGACCGCCGGUGUUAACCCGCGUUGCUGCGUUUAUCCGAGUGAUCCACAAACGACGAAAAUCCCUCUUUUGCCUACCUCUAUCUCGAUGAGAGGAAACAAAAGCUCUUUUUACCUGUUGGGUAAUCAUUCGAUUAAGUCUUAAAUGAGCCCCUCUAAAGUUUGAGGCAAAUGAACGCAUUUUUGUUCGUCGUCUCCGGGCAAC